rnacentral:rRNA from 1 species
UACAGAGACUGCAAGCGUUAUUCGGAUUCACUGGGCGUAAAGGGUGCGCAGGCGGCCAUGUGUGUCAGGUGUGAAAGCCCGAGGCUCAACCUCGGAAUUGCGCCUGAAACUACAUGGCUAGAGUACUGGAGAGGGUAGCGGAAUUCAUGGUGUAGCAGUGAAAUGCGUAGAUAUCUGGAGGAACACCGGUGGCGAAGGCGGCAUCCUGGACCAAUUCUGACGCUGAGGAGCGAAAGCCAGGGGGAGCAAACGGGG